UACGUAGGGGGCGAGCGUUGUCCGGAUUCAUUGGGCGUAAAGAGCUCGUAGGCGGCUUGGCAAGCCGGGUGUGAAACCUCCAGGCUCAACCUGGAGACGCCACCCGGGACUGCUAUGGCUAGAGUCCGGUAGGGGAUCACGGAAUUCCUGGUGUAGCGGUGAAAUGCGCAGAUAUCAGGAGGAACACCGGUGGCGAAGGCGGCAUCCUGGACCGGUAUUGACGCUGAGGCGCGAAAGCCAGGGGAGCAAACGGG
rnacentral:rRNA from 1 species